AACGCACAUUGCGCCCGCUGGUAUUCCGGCGGGCAUGCCUGUUCGAGCGUCAUUUCAACCCUCAAGCCCCCGGGUUUGGUGUUGGGGAUCGGCUCUGCCUUCUGGCGGCGCCGCCCCCGAAAUACAUUGGCGGUCUCGCUGCAGCCUCCAUUGCGUAGUAGCUAACACCUCGCAACUGGAACGCGGCGCGGCCAUGCCGUAAAACCCCAACUUCUGAAUGUUGACCUCGGAUCAGGUAGGAAUACCCGCUGAACUUAA
rnacentral:misc_RNA from 1 species